CCAGGACUGUACCAGCGCACAGCUCCCCCACCCCUGCAUGGUAAUUUAGACCACACUGCACACAGGAAAACCUACUUUAGAAAUGAUGGGGUAAUGCUGAAGAAGAACAGAGCUGUGGAAAUGCCACCAUGGCUGUUGGGUGCAGUGAGCUGAGGCCCGCUGACUCCUGGUCGCUUUGGUUAACAAGGCAGAAGUUCCACAGCAACCAUUCUUACUCACAAUAAAAUGCUCCAGGAGAUGGAAUGCUGCAUUGUGAAAACCAGCAAAUAUGAAAACCAUUUGUGAAAGAACGCUGCAGAAGCAUACAGUGAAUUAUCACUGACAUGGAACAUAAAUGGAGUUCAGUCAAGUUCCAACUUUAAGCACUGGAUCAGAGGAGACUUCUUAAAUAUGAUGGUGGCUCAGCUCCCUGGAGAAAGAGCUGAUACUAGUUAUCAUUUUAUCAUUGAACACAGCUGCUCUGAAUUUUAAUAGGUUUCCUUCUAUGUUAGAAGACACAAAGCUCCUUGUUGCAAUGUUUUCUGUUGGUGACUGGAUGCCUCCAGGGGCUAAUGAGGAGAUGUAAAACUACAGUGAACCCAGUGACCAUUUCAAAUCUAGGCCUAUUUGUACAUGUCUGAAAUGGUGGUGCCAAUCCUGACCAGCAGAGAUCCCAGACUGAGUCCUUCCUCAGAACCUGACAGCCUGCAUUUCCUGAAGUAACAGGCCCAGCACAAGGCUUGCUCUCACCACCCUUCCUCAGGCAAGAAGCCCUUUCCACAUUUCUGACUACACAGGAGAGUCAUCCUGCCCCUUAUUGCUGAGAAGUGUGGUCCUGCAAAGGAAAGAUGACUGCCUGGGGUUUGACAAGGUUUGCAGAUUCCUACAUGAGGAAGUAUAUGGAGAAGAUCUAAGUGAACUACCAUUGACUCAUACUCCAGAUCCUAAAGUACUUCCAGUAAUACAAAAACUUUGUGCCAGUGUUUGGCUUCUGUGGGAAUGGUCUGCGAUUUUCUGAAGACCAGACACACCCUAUCUCAAGAUUGUUUCAAUUCAUAUCCUAUCUCGAGCAAAAGGCUUUGUCUGAAGCUGUCAUGACGUCACUAGCUGAGACUGCCAGAGGAUUUUUGUUGGACCUGAACUUCUCUAUGGUGGAAAUAGCUCCUGACCACUGAAUCACAGCAGUACGAGAGCAGAGCAGUUUUACUGUCUUAUCUCCUCUGCAGGCAAACAUUCUUUCUCCUACAGAUCACCAUAAGGGUAACAAAAUUUUAUCAGCAUGACUAACACAUAAGGCCUUGAUCCACUUAACAGUAUAGAUAUAUUUUGUACCACCCCAUUGGAAGUUAGAAUUUCCUAAAAUUUAAAGAAAGUUUUGGUCAUGCAGUGCUCUACCAAGCAGAAUUAGAAUCACCCAUGACUUUGCUCUUGCCUUAUACGUCUCAUCUUGCCCAUGAGCAUGUUAAAAAUUUUUGCCACUUUUGUGACAGAUGACUUCUAUUGAGCCUGUUUGGAGGAAGUCUUGCCCAUCUCAGUCUUCCACUUACACCAGUAAAAGUUUUGCUGCUAUUUUCACUGAUUUAGGCUCCUGAUAUCAAAUACAGUUAUAUGAAAAACAGACAAAUAUUUGAACUUCAGAUUCUCGGCUGAAAUAACAGAGCACAACUUCCUUAAUUUGUACCAUCUGCUCAUACAGGCCGUGCUUGUCAGGUCUAAAGCUUUCUGAGUCAUUCACCCAGUAGCAGGACUUCUGGAAAACUGACUGAGAAUGGAAAAUGGUACUCAUGAAGAAUAAAUUUUAUAUUAUAACUAAUCUCAUAAGCUAUUACUUUGAUGGAAUCAAGUUUUCUGUUCUUAUGUUU